AUGGUGAAGUGGUCCAAGAUAUGCAAACCCAAGGACCAGGGCGGUCUUGGGGUUAUCUCAUCCAAAAGGAUGAAUAUUGCCCUCUUAUCAAAAUGGUUAUGGAGGAUCGCCUUGGGGGAGGGUGGACUGUGGCUAGAUAUUAUUCGCGCCAAAUACCUGCGAGACCAACCCUUGGUGUUUGCACAAAUAUCUGGUGGGUCUCAAUUUUGGUAG
rnacentral:rRNA from 1 species